UAGGUUAAAGUCCGACGGUUUGGACGGCUAACUGUUAAUUAGUUUUUUGUAGGAUCGAGGCCUACUAAUCUAG
rnacentral:tRNA from 1 species